AGCAGUCGCCGCGGUAAUACGAGGGGAGCUAGCGUUAUUCGGAAUUACUGGGCGUAAAGCGCACGUAGGCGGCUUUGUAAGUUAGAGGUGAAAGCCCAGAGCUCAACUCUGGAAUUGCCUUUAAGACUGCAUCGCUUGAAUCCAGGAGAGGUGAGUGGAAUUCCGAGUGUAGAGGUGAAAUUCGUAGAUAUUCGGAAGAACACCAGUGGCGAAGGCGGCUCACUGGACUGGUAUUGACGCUGAGGUGCGAAAGCGUGGGGAGCAAACAGGAUUAGAUACCCCUGUAGUCCCUGUCUCUUAUAC
rnacentral:rRNA from 1 species